rnacentral:tRNA from 1 species
GCCUGAUUGGCUCAGCGGUUAAGUGCCUGCCUUCAGCUCAGGGUGUGAUCCUGGAGUCCUGGGAUCGAGUCCCACAUCAGGCU